UCAACUAACCUGGACCCGUGGGGCUCUCAG
rnacentral:piRNA from 1 species